UAUUUUCUGCUAUUAGUGUCCAUCAA
rnacentral:piRNA from 1 species